AACGAACGCUGGCGGCGUGCCUAACACAUGCAAGUCGUGCGAGAAAGUUCCUUCGGGAGCGAGUAAAGCGGCGCACGGGUGAGUAACACGUAGGUAACCUGCCCCCAAGUCUGGAACAACUGGAGGAAACUCCAGCUAAUGCCGGAUGAGACCACGAUCCCCUCGGGGGUUGUGGCCAAAGAUGGCCUCUGCUUGCAAGCUAUCGCUCGGGGAUGGGCCUGCGGGCCAUUAGCUAGUUGGUGAGGUAACGGCUCACCAAGGCAGUGAUGGCUAGCUGGUCUGAGAGGAUGACCAGCCACACUGGGACUGAGACACGGCCCAGACUCCUACGGGAGGCAGCAGUGGGGAAUAUUGCGCAAUGGGCGAAAGCCUGACGCAGCGACGCCGCGUGGGUGAUGAAGGCCUU
rnacentral:rRNA from 1 species